CCCAUGGAGUGGGGAUGAGCAGAGCUCUGCCCGAAGAGAGGGAGGAAAUAAGAAGUGGCUUCAUGGUCCUGUUAAGGCUCCUGAAAUAGCCCAGAUCUCUUUUAAUAAUUACCUUGUAAGAAAACUUCUGCAGGAAAAAGAACUGAAAAUGACACCAGAACUCACUGCAAAAUGUGUGGUUUAAAGGAUUGACUGCUUCAUCUGUGACAUUUACUGUGUGAUAUAACUGAACAACUAAGUUAAGUGUCGCCAGUUACUUGUCUUCAAAUUGGAAAUAAAAACACUGACUAUAGAAGAUUAUUUUGAAGCUUAGAUGAGAUAGUACAUAAUAAAUAAAAAGUACUUGGGACAG